GAUGGUUUAACCCCCUCCCCUACUA
rnacentral:tRNA from 10 species